GAUGAAGAACUUAGCGAAAUGCGAUAAGUAAUGUGAAUUGCAGAAUUCAGUGAAUCAUCGAAUCUUUGAACGCACAUUGCGCCCGCCAGCACUCUGGCGGGCAUGCCUGUCCGAGCGUCAUUUCAACCCUCAGGGCCCCUUCGGGGGACCUGGCGUUGGGGAUCGGCCCGCCCCCGUGCGGCGCCGUCCCCGAAAUACAGAGGCGGUCUCGCUGCAGCCUCCCCUGCGUAGUAGCACACCUCGCACUGGAGAGCGGCGCGGCCACGCCGUGAAACCCCCAACUUCUGAAAGUUGACCUCGGAUCAGGUAGGAAUACCCGCUGAACUUAAGCAUAUCAAUAAGCGGAGGA
rnacentral:misc_RNA from 1 species